rnacentral:rRNA from 1 species
UACGGAGGGUGCAAGCGUUAUCCGGAUUCACUGGGUUUAAAGGGUGCGUAGGAGGGCAGGUAAGUCAUUGGUGAAAUCUCCAAGCUUAACUUGGAAACUGCCGUUGAUACUAUCUGUCUUGAAUACCGUGGAGGUGAGCGGAAUAUGUCAUGUAGCGGUGAAAUGCUUAGAUAUGACAUAGAACACCAAUUGCGAAGGCAGCUCGCUACACGAAUAUUGACUCUGAGGCACGAAAGCGUGGGGAUCAAACAGG